CUGCAGACUCACACAGCAUCUCUGAACAUCCUGACCUGAGCAACAGAGAAAAUGGUUUUCAAUUCACCUUUGAGGGUCCUUCUUCUCGGGAUUGUUUUGCUUUCCUGUUUUCAAAGUGUGGUGAAUCAAGUGGACAUGAACACCCUUUCCAAGAUCCAAAAAUAUUUUCAUAACAAUUAUUAUAACGGCUGCCAGUAUGCAGUAGCCAUCAAUGUCCCAAAGGUGCAGUGUCAAAGUGGAUUCAACCCCCAAAACAGACCCUUUCUGACACAUGACCCAUCAGGAACAGUUAAACCUCACAUACAACGUGACAGCAUGGAUGUCUACAGAGGCGCUGAACUCAUCGCUGCAGGGUUUCAUAAAGAUGCACAUUCAGAGGAUUUACUGAUGAAUCCUCCAAAUCAUUCUGCUUUGACAGACUUGAUGAAUAAACACAGUGAUGGAUGUGUGGUUUUCUACACCGCAAAUAGUCCCUGUAUAAACCGUUGUAUCAAUAGUAGAAACAGGAAGAAUAUUAUACAAGGUCUUAAUACAUUAAGGGCAUACCGGGGAAUUAAAGCCUUUGUUUUCUCAAAUAUCUACACAAAUGACCAAAAUAACCCAAACCUUAGAUCUGAACUACAGCAGAUUGCUGAUCGUGUGCCGCUUUACCGUUGUAACUAUGGUGGUUGUAUCCUUUGUGGACAACCAAACAUGAGAGUGAUAGAUCAAUGUUUAAUACCAUAGGUCUCACUUGCUCACUAACAUUAAGUUUCUUGUUUGACAGCGAUGCUUUAAAUGAAUCGAUGAGCUAGUUAUCUGCUGAGACUUUUGAAGAUACACUUCAGUGCUUAAAUAGCCUUUCACAUGCAGCUUUUUGCUUUCUCUUUCAAAUUGCACAAUAUUUACAAAUGAAUAAACUAAGACAGGGGAGGGUAAAUGUUGACCUUUCAUGAUUAUAAUCAUAUCAAAUUCUGCAAAAAUUGGAAAUUUGAAGGUCUUGAUAAAGGAAAAGUACCAAUAAAUUAAAGCUUUUGUAUUCAGAUACAUCUGCAUUUUGACCAGAUUUGUGAUUAAAAUGCUUGAUUGUUUAUGCUUAAAUGACAAAAUUUGUAAUGAUUUCAUUAACACUGCU